UCCGAAUUGGUGUAGGGGUUAACAUUGCCGCCUCUCAGAGCCACGUCAUUCAUGACAAAGGGCCACGCAAUCUGAAUUCGCGGCAGCCCGGGGUUCGAUUCCCCGAUUCGGAA